GAAGCGCGUGGAACCGCGCACCACAGAGGGCAAUCGUCCCGUAGGCGAAACUGCACGGCCUUCCGUCAGACGUACCUGAGUAAGUCCGCUCCCGUGAAACGCGGACUGAAUCUGGGGGGACCACCCUCCAAGGCNNUACCGUGAGGGAAAGGUGAAAAGUACCCCGGAAGGGGAGUGAAAUAGUACCUGAAACCGCGCGCCUACAAGCGGUGGGAGCGGGCUUGUCCCGUGACCGCGUGCUUUUUGCAUAACGAGCCGGCGAGUUACUCGUCUGCGGCAAGGUUAAGCGAUGAGCGGAGCCGUAGCGAAAGCGAGUCCGAAUAGGGCGAUUCAGUCGUAGGCGGUAGACCCGAAACUGAGCGAGCUACCCAUGGGCAGGCUGAAGCGGGGGUAAGACCUCGUGGAGGGCCGAACCGACCUAGGUUGAAAACUGGGCGGAUGACCUGUGGGUCGGAGUGAAAGGCUAAUCAAGCUCAGUGAUAUCUGGUUCUCUCCGAAAUAUAUUUAGGUAUAGCCUCGGAUCAAUUGCGUCGUGGCCGUAGAGCACUGUUUGGACUAGGGGCCCUACCAGGUUACCGACUUCAUGCAAACUCCGAAGACCACCACGUCUACUCCGGGAGUCAGUUGCUGGGGGAUAAACUUCAGCGUCAAAAGGGAAACAGCCCAGACCGCCAGCUAAGGUCCCCAAAUUCUAGCUAAGUGGUAAACGAUGUCUGAAUGCACAGACAACCAGGAGGUUGGCUCAGAGGCAGCCACCCUUGAAAGAGUGCGUAACAGCUCACUGGUCAAGUGUUCGGGCGCGGAUAAUGUAACGGGGCUCAAGCUAGAUACCGAAGCUGCGGGUGCGUGAGGCCUUCGGGCCGAUCGCGCGGUAGGAGAGCGUUCCUACGCCAGCGAAGCGGCGGCGUAAGCCAGCCGUGGAGGCGUGGGAAGUGAGAAUGCCGGCAUGAGUAACGAGAGAGGGGUGAGAAUCCCCUCCACCGAUUGUCCAAGGAUUCCUGGGUAAAGCUCGUCUUCCCAGGGUUAGUCGGGUCCUAAGGCGAGGCCGAAAGGCGUAGUCGAUGGCCAACAGGUUGAUAUUCCUGUACCACGUCGUGUCCGUUUGACCGAUGGAGGGACGAGGACGGCUAAGGGAACCCAGGCGAUGGUCGUCCUGGGGUAAGCGUGUAGGGGUGGUCCUAGGCAAAUCCGGGACCGCAUUAACCUGAGGCGCGAUGCCAGCUGGCUAUAAGCCGGCGAGUCCCUGAAGCCAUGCCUCCAAGAAAAGCUCCUAGGGAGGACACGCGUGCCCGUACCAAAACCGACACAGGUGGACAAGUAGAGAAUACUAAGGUGAUCGAGAUAACCAUCGUUAAGGAACUCGGCAAAAUUGCCCCGUAACUUCGGGAUAAGGGGCGCCCCGGUAGGGUCAUGCCACUUGCUGGCGCAGCCCGAGGGGGCCGCAGUGAAUUGGCUGGAGCGACUGUUUACCAAAAACACAGGUCUCUGCUAAGUCGUAAGACGACGUAUAGGGGCUGACGCCUNNUGCACGAAUGGCGUAACGACUUCAGCGCUGUCUCAACGAUGGGCUCGGUGAAAUUGCAGUCUCGGUGAAGAUGCCGAGUACCCGCGGCUAGACGGAAAGACCCCGUGAACCUUUACUACAACUUGGUAUUGGGAUUCGAUGCAUUUCGCUCAGGAUAGGUGGGAGGCUUUGAAGCACCGGUUGCGGCCGGCGUGGAGCCAACCUUGAGAUACCACCCUUGGUGUAUUGGAUUUCUAACAUCGCACCGUGAUCCGGGCGGUGGACAUUGCCAGGCGGGUAGUUUGACUGGGGCGGUCGCCUCCUAAAAUGUAACGGAGGCGCACAAAGGUUCCCUCAGCACGGUCGGAAAUCGUGCGUAGAGUGUAAAGGCAGCAAGGGAGCUUGACUGCGAGACCGACAGGUCGAGCAGGUGCGAAAGCAGGUCUUAGUGAUCCGGCGGUAGCAAGUGGAAGUGCCGUCGCUCAACGGAUAAAAGGUACUCCGGGGAUAACAGGCUUAUCGGGCCCAAGAGUUCACAUCGACGGCCCGGUUUGGCACCUCGAUGUCGGCUCGUCGCAUCCUGGGGCUGUAGUCGGUCCCAAGGGUUGGGCUGUUCGCCCAUUAAAGCGGUACGCGAGCUGGGUUCAGAACGUCGCAAGACAGUUCGGUCCCUAUCUGCCGUGGGCGUUGGAGAGUUGAGAGGGUUUGUCCCUAGUACGAGAGGACCGGGAUGAACAGACCUCUGGUGUUUCUGUUGUCGUGCCAACGGCAUCGCAGAUUAGCUACGUCUGGUUUGGAUAACCGCUGAAAGCAUCUAAGUGGGAAGCCAGCCUCGAGAUGAGCUCUCCCAUCCCCUUGAGGGAGUAAGACCCCUGGUAGACCACCAGGUUGAUAGGCCGGCUUUGGAAGGGCGGUGACGCCCGUAGGAGACCGGUACUAAUGGGUCGAGGGCUUGACGG
rnacentral:rRNA from 1 species